rnacentral:rRNA from 1 species
AGCAGCCGCGGUAAUUCCAGCUCCAAUAGCGUAUAUUAAAGUUGUUGCAGUUAAAAAGCUCGUAGUUGAAUUUCGGGAUUAGCAGGUCGGUCGUGCCACUGGUACGUACUGGUCUUGCUGAUUCCCCCCUCUUGACGAGCCGUAAUGCCAUUAAUUUGGUGUUGCGGGGAAUCAGGACUGUUACUUUGAAAAAUUAGAGUGUUUAAAGCAGGCAUGCGCUUGAAUACAUUAGCAUGGAAUAAUGAAAUAGGACGUUCGAUCUUAUUUUGUUGGUUUCUAGGAUUGACGUAAUGAUUAAUAGGGAUAGUUGGGGGCAUUAGUAUUCAAUUGUCAGAGGUGAAAUUCUUGGAUUUAUUGAAGACUAACUACUGACGAAAGCAUUUACCAAGGAUGUUUUCAUUAAUCAAGAACGAAAGUUAGGGGAUCGAAGUACGAUCAGAUACCGUACGUAGUACUUAACCAUAAACUAUAGCCGACUAGGGAUCGGAUGGUGUUUAAUUUUUAUGUACUCA